AGAGUCUCAGAUGUAAUGGGGUUCCCAAGCUGAUGUAGAGGAUAUUAGCUGAUGAGGAUUUUUUUUGCCCCUACAAACUUCAUGCUACAAAGCAAGACAAUGUUUGUAAAGAACAGAAUAUCAGCAUGAGAACAGAAAUGCACAAUCAGAAACAUCACUCAAUUUCUAUCCAUGCAUUUCACCAAGUUUUGUUGAUGGACAUAUCACUGGUUACUGCUGGAUUUCUAACUCAGGUGGCUGGGAUCCUAAAGUCUCAUGUAAAUGAGAUUCCCAAAUCCUCUAUCAACACGCAUUGCCUAACUUCUAGUCCUGGCCCCCAGAAUAUUUUACGCAAGCUGAAAAUUGGAAAUGAGGAUCAUGUAAGGACACAGCUAUCACCUGGCUAUUUCAUAAAAGCAUAGUGCCACAUCUCUUGGAACUAUGAAAAGAGUGACAGCCAAAAGCCUCACACAAUUUACCUAGGAAUGCAGGCUAGAUAUAAAAUGAUUCUCCUGAGAUCCUCCUGCCAUAUACUGUUGUGAUUGCUGCAGGCUGAAAAUGUUAAAAGUGACCUCCAUGCUUACCUCUACCACCUAAAAAACAAACAUUGGGAACACAUUUAGACUAAGGAGGAUGAGAUGAGACUCUCUCCAUUUCAAGUUGAAUGUUCUCAUCUAUUCACUCAGUCCAAAUGAUACCUAAGUGAACCACAGAGUGUGGAAGAAUCACUCACUGCCCAAGAUUUCUCAGGUCAUCUGAGCUGUGUAAAUCUCAGAUGGGACUCAGAAGAACAAGUCUUAGUUUGAAGGACAAAUAGAAGGUUCAGCAGAUGGCUUGUCUUUUCCUUCAGUGUGUUGGAAGAACACCUUCCUUUAAUUUAAUAUGUGGGGAGAAAAUGUUCUUGUGUGUGUGUGCUUUCUUGCCUCUCCACUCCUUCCUCACCACCCCUUUCCUAUGCCCUCUUCUGCAUUCUGAACCUUCUUUUCUUCUGCAUCACUUAAAAUGGGUUCUUAAAAGUCUUAAAAGGAAAAAGAAAAGAUGCUAUUCAAACGUUAUCCCAAUGAUGACUUAUUAAAUGUGAUAUCCGCUGCAUCUGACCACCAAUAGCCAAGCUUUGUCAAACUCUUACACAAAGUCACACAUACAAAACGAGAAAGAUGGGCAAGAAAUCACUUUAGAGAAGAACUAGAUUAGCUCAAGGACUUUUGAAAAAUUACACCAUACACCAGGAGUACAAAUCUCAGGCAGGCAUAUUUCUCAUUGAAAGGAACACAAUUCGAACACAGUAAGACUGAGUACUUUUGGUGAAACUGUCAUAUUUACUCUGUAUUUCUCUCAAAGUUGUUAGUAAUGUAGAAAAGGAAAAUAAAUCCUUCUAUAAGAGGUCAUUCAUUUAGUUUUAUGAUUCUGAUCAUCUCUCUUCAAAAAUUCUAAAACUUCAAGUUACAAUACAAAACUCCUAAUUAUUCUGUAUACCAAAAAUAAUUAGCAGGGAUAAAAUUAAAAUCCAACCUAGGAAACAACAAAAAUACCUUCCUUUUAGUGUGAUCAAAAUAAUAUACAAUGCUGGGUGCAGAGUGGCAUGCCUGUAAUCCUAGCAGUUUAGGAGGCCAACACAGAAGGAUUGCAAGUUCAAGGCCAGCCUCAGUAACUUAGAGAGGUCCUAACAUCCUUUCUGAAAAUAACAACAAAACAAACAAACAAAAAAUCUAUACACACAGCAGAAGACGCUGGUAUUUUGAAAACAAAUUUUAUCAAUAUGUUUUUUUUUCUAAUUUUCUAGAAUGAUUACACACAUUCUAAACAGUAUGAAACUUAAUUCUGACUGUGAAUACUUAAUAUGAUUCUCAUGUACUUUCUAGUCAUGUAAACUAAAAGAAGUCUUAAAUAUCUGUAACUCAGUUAUUCAGACAAUCAAUGGGAGCAACAUCAAAUCACAGAUAUCAAUAAAUCCUGACCAUCAUGAAUGGUUAACAUAAGAAAGGGACAACCAGACUUUCCCAAUAAAUUCCCCACAGAACCAAACACCACCAACUAUUUCACCUUCCUACCCUGCAAAAUAAGCCAAGUCUCAUCAAGCCUCAAGACCUAACUCAUAGUUUACAGGAAACUCAGAGGGAAGAGAAACAUGGUGAAUGAGCACACAGGGACACAAUGAACAAAAUAUAGAAUGAUAAAAAAUCUACAGGAAAACAUUCAACUUCCUCACUUAACAAAGGAGGGGAUAAGGCCAAAAAAAGCAAGAAGGAUGAAAAACCUAUAGAUGAAAAGAGACUUAUCAGAUAUCUUAACCAACUGCAACAUACACUUGUUAAGAAACAUUGAGAGAGACAAGCAAGGAGAUUGAAUACUGAUUGGCUUUUAUGG
rnacentral:lncRNA from 1 species